GAUGAACGCUGGCGGCGUGCCUAAUACAUGCAAGUCGAGCGAACAGACGAGGAGCUUGCUCCUUCGACGUUAGCGGCGGACGGGUGAGUAACACGUAGGUAACCUACCUAUAAGACUGGGAUAACUUCGGGAAACCGGAGCUAAUACCGGAUAAUAUUUCGAACCGCAUGGUUCGAUAGUGAAAGAUGGCUUUGCUAUCACUUAUAGAUGGACCUGCGCCGUAUUAGCUAGUUGGUAAGGUAACGGCUUACCAAGGCAACGAUACGUAGCCGACCUGAGAGGGUGAUCGGCCACACUGGAACUGAGGCACGGUCCAGACUCCUACGGGAGGCAGCAGUAGGGAAUCUUCCGCAAUGGGCGAAAGCCUGACGGGGCAACGCCGCGUGAGUGAUGAAGGUCUUCGGAUCGUAAAACUCUGUUAUUAGGGAAGAACAAACGUGUAAGUAACUGUGCACGUCUUGACGGUACCUAAUCAGAAAGCCACGGCUAACUACGUG
rnacentral:rRNA from 1 species